GGUGCAUGCGUAUAGAUAUGUGUGCAGUGUCUACGUCCAUAAAAUGAGGUGGGCCUUUGCCAAAUAAUUGAAAAGUCAGGGCGCUUCUGACUAACCUCCACCAUGGAUUCCUGGCCAAUCAUAGAAUAUUUCUUUGUCUCUACGUUUAUUACAACAGUAUUUCAAGUGGUUCCAUCUUCGCCAGCGAAUGCAAUUGCAACCAACAGCACAGAAGGAUCUCUCGCGAAUGUCACCGAUGCAUCCUUCGACAUCUCUCCUCUAAGCGUACGCGAGUGUGAAGCUCGGCCGCACGGCGUCUGCUCACCGCGUUCACUGAGGUCGUCCGACUGCAGAUUUCACUUGAGCGACAGCAAAGAUUAUCAGACGCACGUUACACUGCAUUAAGCUCUGGCCAGUACAGCCGACGCCAACUUCGACAACUCUCCUCUGAAUAUACGCGAGUGUACUGCUCGACCACAGGGAUCCUGCACACCUGCGUCGCUGGAUACAUCUGACUGCGCAUUCCUUUCGAACACGAGCGGCGAGUAUUUUGCUAAACGCACACAAACAUGCAUCACAUUGGUCUGUGGUGAGGACGCCACCAAAGACGUCUUUAAGAAACAGACAGCAGCCAUCAGUAAACGCAGUAAACACCGUGCUGUCUCCGUGAAAAUCCAGAACGAUGCGGUGUUGGACCCGGAAGUCAUCCAACCAAUUCGACAGCAGAUAGUCGUGCUUAAAAUUAAGAACUCCAUUGACAACAUUUUGACCUUCCGCAUCGGACUGCUGGGA